rnacentral:rRNA from 1 species
GCCCUUAGAGUUUGAUCCUGGCUCAGGAUGAACGCUAGCGGUGCGCCUAACACAUGCAAGUCGAGCGAGAGAUAUUUGGUAGCUUGCUACCAAAUAUCAACAGCGGCAGACGGGUGAGUAAUACUUUAGAACCUACCUCUAAGUCAGGGAUAACCCAGAGAAAUCUGGACUAAUACCGGAUGUGUCCUACGGAAUAAAGAUUUAUCGCUUAGAGAGGGGCUUCAGGCCUAUCAGGUAGCUGGUGAGGUAAUAGCUCACCAAGCCGAUGACGGGUAGCUGGUCUGAGAGGAUGAUCAGCCACAAUGGAACUGAGACACGGUCCAUACUCCUACGGGAGGCAGCAGUGAGGAAUCUUCCACAAUGGGCGAAAGCCUGAUGGAGCGACACCGCGUGAAGGAUGAAGGAUUUGUUUCUGUAAACUUCUUUACUGAGGGAAGAUAAUGACGGUACCUCAGCAAAAAGGGACGGCAAACUACGUGCCAGCAGCCGCGGUAAUACGUAGGUCCCAAGCGUUAUCCGGAAUAACUGGGCGUAAAGCGUCUGUAGGUGGGAAAAUAAGUUGGAUGUGAAAGACCGGGGCCCAACCUCGAGUUUGUGUCCAAAACUGUUUUUCUAGAACUAGGGAGAGGUAAGCAGAAUUCAUGGAGUAGGGGUGCAAUCCGUAGAUACCAUGAGGAAUACCAAAAGCGAAGGCAGCUUACUGGAACUAUGUUGACACUUAGAGACGAAAGCGUGGGGAGCGAAAAGGAUUAGAUACCCUUGUAGUCCACGCCCUAAACGAUGAUAAUUAAAUGUUCCCACAGGAUGGGAGUGUUGUAGCAAACGCGUUAAAUUAUCCGCCUGAGUAGUACGGCCGCAAGGCUAAAACUCAAAUGAAUAGACGGGGACCCACACAAGCAGUGGAUCAUGUGGUUUAAUUCGACAAUAAACGGGGAACCUUACCUAGGCUUGACAUCCUUUGAAUCCACCAGAAAUGGAGGAGUGCUCGCAAGAGAACAAAGAGACAGGCGCUGCAUGGUUGUCGUCAGCUCGUGCCUUGAGGUGUUCGGUUAAGUCCGUUAACGAGCGCAACCCAUCUUGUUAGUUACUAUGUCUAACAAUACUGCCUAUGUUAAAUAGGAGGAAGGUGUGGAUGACGUCAAAUCAGCAUGGCCCUUAUGCCUAGGGCCACACACAUGAUACAAUGGUCGGUACAAAGAGUCGCAAGUUGGUAACAGCAAGCUAAUCUCAAAAAACCGAUCUCAGUCCGGAUUGAGGUCUGCAACUCAACCUCAUGAAGUUGGAAUUGCUAGUAAUCGUGAAUCAGAUAUGUCACGGUGAAUAUGUUCCUGGGUCUUGUACUCACCGCCCGUCAUGGCAUGGGAGGUGAUAAUAUCGGAAGUCCCUCAAGAAACGUGAGGGCCCAUGGUAGGAUCACUGACUGGGCUAAAGUCGUAACAAGGUAACCAAGGGCGU